rnacentral:lncRNA from 1 species
GCCGUUUGAGAAAUCCUUAUUGGAGAAGCCCUCAGAGCUCAUGUCACAUUCAUCCUCUUUCCUGUCCCUCACCGGAUUCUCUCUCAAUCAGGAAAGAUACCCAAAUAAUAGUAUGUUCAAUGAGGUAUAUGGGAAAAACCUGACAUCCAGCUCCAAAGCAGAACUCAGUCCCUCAAUGGCCCCCCAGGAAACAUCUCUGUAUUCCCUUUUUGAAGGGACUCCGUGGUCUCCAUCACUUCCUGCCAGUUCAGAUCAUUCAACACCAGCCAGCCAGUCUCCUCAUUCCUCUAACCCAAGCAGCCUACCCAGCUCUCCUCCAACACACAACCAUAAUUCUGUUCCAUUCUCCAAUUUUGGACCCAUUGGGACUCCAGAUAACAGGGAUAGAAGGACUGCAGAUCGGUGGAAAACUGAUAAGCCAGCCAUGGGUGGGUUUGGCAUUGAUUAUCUCUCAGCAACGUCAUCCUCUGAGAGCAGUUGGCAUCAGGCCAGCACUCCGAGUGGCACCUGGACAGGCCAUGGCCCUUCCAUGGAGGAUUCCUCUGCUGUCCUCAUGGAAAGCCUAAAGUCUAUCUGGUCCAGUUCCAUGAUGCAUCCUGGACCUUCUGCUCUGGAGCAGCUGUUAAUGCAGCAGAAGCAGAAACAGCAACGGGGACAAGGCACCAUGAACCCUCCACACUGAGGCCAAAGUGGCAACCUGGGAAUGAAGGCUCCAUAAACCAUGGCAUGUUGGGUUUGCAGGACUGGCCCACACAGUCCCCUGCAGGUGGCAGCCCUCUUUUCUGUUUCUCGCUGUCAAGAGGGUGUAAGUAUUCCACCAGCCCGCUGAGUGUGCACGAAAUGUUCGCAGUGCAAC